AGAGUUUGAUCCUGGCUCAGAUUGAACGCUGGCGGCAUGCUUUACACAUGCAAGUCGAACGGCAGCGGGGGCUUCGGCCUGCCGGCGAGUGGCGAACGGGUGAGUAAUGCAUCGGAACGUGCCCAGUCAUGGGGGAUAACUACGCGAAAGCGUAGCUAAUACCGCAUACGCCCUGAGGGGGAAAGCGGGGGAUCGCAAGACCUCGCGUGAUUGGAGCGGCCGAUGUCGGAUUAGCUGGUUGGUGGGGUAAAGGCUUACCAAGGCGACGAUCCGUAGCGGGUCUGAGAGGAUGAUCCGCCACACUGGGACUGAGACACGGCCCAGACUCCUACGGGAGGCAGCAGUGGGGAAUUUUGGACAAUGGGGGCAACCCUGAUCCAGCCAUGCCGCGUGAGUGAAGAAGGCCUU
rnacentral:rRNA from 1 species